CCUGAUUCCUCACUAGAAGCUGUGCUGGUGCCUCUCGUUUCUCAGUGUCACUCCUGUUUAGGCUUGUAGCUGUCAGGGAACCUCACAGGUGGAAAGUUACAGACAUUCCGGGGCCUGCCAUAAAGCACACCCACUCUCCCCACAGGGAGAUGAGGAAUUUCCCGGCUACAGGGUCCGGAUCAGUGUGUACGGAACAGGAUAGGUGGGUUGAGAAAAAUUUGCUUUCAUAUGUCUCUGGAAAUCUGGAAAGGGUGAGUGUCUCACUAAGGAGGCGUGUUUUCUAUCUUGGUCAUCUCUGUCAUAUCUGUCUGUUUGUUGGGCCUUGGGGCAGGGGAAAGGGAUGGGAGUCCGAAGGCUCUGGAUUUGCUUGCUCAUUUCCUAAAUAGCCAGGAAAAACCAUCAGCUGGAAGAAAACCAACAUGGCUCCUAGAAAAGCUGUCUGCUUGAUUCCACGGACAGGGUUCUUGAAGACACAACUAAAUGAAAAUGGAUGAAAUCAGAAUGGAGCCUAAUCCGAGGUGACUGCUGUCUUUGUGAGAACAGGGAAGGAACACACAGGAAGGCUCCAGGGGUGCGUGUGAGGACAGAGCAAGGAGGUGGCCUGUCUGCCAGCCAAGGAAAAGAAACCAGCCCUGCUGACAACCGGCCCUCAGACUGCCAGCCCAGUGGGAAAACUCAUUCUGUUAUCUAAGCCACUCUGUCUGCAACGAUUGGUUAUGGCGGCCCUAAAAAAUGAGUACAUUUUCCGUCUUUGUACUGUAAAGUUGUUGUUGUUUAAUAGAUUGUCUCUUUUCUUGGGUUUAAGGAAUAUCUUCAAAAAGAGCUUGUUUUAUUGAUGAACUUGGUGUAUUAGGAACCAUCUCGGGAGGCUCUUGGCAAACACAGAAGGGGAUGAACGAGAGCACAUGCCUACCCGCUGUACAGAUCUCGCAACUGCAGAGAUAAUUGGAGAAGAUAGAUCUAUCUGCAAAGACACAAAAGGUCGAGAGUUUAUGCGAGUCAUCCUCUCAGGGAAAAUGAGCGAUUGCGGUAGCAGCAAUCCAUCUUACCAUUGAUUUAUAAGCGUCAUUGGAGAACUUGAUAUUUGUCUCACUGGAAAAACUUUUUUUUUUAAUUUAAUAAGAAACAUGUUUCUGCCUUUUGUAAUUCUAGUUGUCCUAACACAAUGUGUCCAAGCCUCACAUUUCUCCUUUAUUUGUUGAUAAGCCCACAGAUCUUGAUUGAAUCUAUAGUUCUUCCCGGGGCUAGAAGAUUUUAGAAUUUUUGAUGGUAACUUUUUUCCCCCUUGUAUCAGGGUCUCACUAUGUAACCGGGCUGACCUGGAACUUGAUAUGUAGACCAGGUUGGCCUCAACGUCACAGGUCAGCCUGCCUCUGCCUCCUGGGUGCUGAAUUAAUGGCCUGCACCACUGCAUAAUUUUUAUUGCAGAACUGGUAUCAGAACCAAAGCCAGAGCUUUCCCAUGAUACCCAGGGACAAAAUGGCACACACUUUUAAUGCUAGCACAUGGGAAGCAGAGGCAGGUGGAUCUCUGUGAGUUUGAGGCUAGCCUGGUCUACAGAGUGAGAUCCUGUCUGAGAGAGACAGAGGCAGGCACAGACAGACAUACAGGCAGACAGACAGGGAGCUAGAAAUGCAAAUAUGAUCAGUAUGAGCUGAGGUUUGAUUUUUAAUAAGAUCACAGCUCCUUUUUAAAGGAAGCCAGUGCUUCUUACAGCUAGGAGGCCUUUCUGUGUCCGUGCUCUUAUUUAAUUUUUUUAAGAUUGAUUUAUUUUGUUUUAUGUGUAUGAGUGUUUUGCUUACAUGUUUGUAUGUGUAUCAUGUGAGUGCCUGGUGCCCACAGAGGUCAGAGUAGGACAAUGGGUCCCCUGUAACUGGAGUUUUGAGUGUUUAUAGGCCACUAUGUCAGUUUUGAAAAUGGAACCCAGGUUCUCUGCAAGAACAAGUACUCUUAACCAUUGAGGGCUCCUCUAACAACAGCCACCUCCCCCACCGUGUGUGUGUGUGUGUGUGUGUGUGUGUGUGUGUGUAGGUCAGAGGUCAACAUCAUCUCCCUCAGUUGCUCUCCACUUUAUUUUUGAGGUAAGGUCUCAUAUUGAACCUGGAGCUGGCUGUUUAGGCUAAACUGUGCCUAUAAGCCCCAGGGAAUCUCUUGUCUCUGCCCCCACUCCAACACCACCUGCCCAACACUGGGGCUACAGGCACCUGUCGCCUUGCCAUGCCUGGCUUUUUUAGUGAGUGUUGAGGAUGCCAGAGUAGAUCCUUGUACAGCCAAUGCAGCACACACCUUUGUUUUGACCUCCAAGUUUACUCUCCAUAUGUUGGAGGAAUGUUCAUCUUUGUGGUACGGUUUCUUUCAUGUAUUACUUAUUUAUUUUUUUAAAAAAAUUAUUUAUGUAUUUUAUAUAUGUGAGUACACUGUCGCUGUCUUCAGACACACUAGAAGAGGGUAUUGGUUCCCAUUACAGAUGUCUGUGAGCCACCGUGUAGGUGCUGGGAUUUGAACUCAGGACCUCUGGAAGAGCAGCCAGUGUGCUCUUAACCAUUGAGCCAUCUCUCCAGCCCUCAUGUACUUUUUUAAAAAGGCAGAUCUCUGGAAUGGACAAGGAAGGUAUCUUCGAUCGAAGCUGUGGGAGGAGCUUUGGACUUGGCUAAGAGCCAGAGCCCUGUAGAGGGAGCGCCAGAGAGCCACUGCGAAGACCCCAGGGGACCAGGAUGCAGCUAAGUCACCUGGAUGCGGAGAAGCUUCUGGGUCCCCACUCUACCUCGCAUCUCUUCUAGAAGGUGCCAGCUGGUGGCUAUGCUUGCACUGGAGCCUUUGCAUAGCCUACGUGGCUGUCAGUGAGGCCACAGGGCCAUUGCAGGCAAUAGUCCAGCUGCACCCCAAGAGAUAGCCUAGAACCAAAGCAUUUCCCACAGCAUUCCUAGAAACUACUUAUGCGUGUCACUCAGAAAACCCAAAUCCUAUCAUUUCUUAGAUGUCAGCUGUGCAGAUACGUCUCUCAACGUUAGAUUGUCUGUUGGAAAAUAUAACUGGAUACCAGAAGUGUCAGAAACCUGGUUCAUACCACUCUUCACAAGGGGAGGCCUGCAAAAACACAGGCAGGAAGGAAUCACCCACUGCUGCAGCCAUGGGCCUGUCAGGCUCGCUCUUAAUUCCUGCCCAGGGCUUGCUCUCUAAAGCCGUGCUGGCUCUGCCUCCAUUUCCCACUUCAUCCAGAGCAAACAUGGCUUCCCGUGCUUGUCCUGGUACCACGAUGCCAUAGCGUCCCCUCAGCCCACUUCCAGAUAAGGGGGCCAUCUGACAAAGAAAGGUCAGGCCGGCUUUGCAUCUAGACUAGCAAGGCUCUUGUUUGUAUGUUGAGGGCACGAAUCUGUAAGUCCUGAGUUUAUUUUGUCCCCAUCUGUGUUGAUUUUUAAAUGGCCUCAUAGGCUCACAGGGAGUGAGUGGCACUAUUACAAGGUGUGGCCUUGUUGCAGGAAGUGGUCACUGGAAUGAGGGUUAGGGAGGGGGCGCUUUGAGGUUUCAGGAGCUCAAGCCAGGCCUGGGAUCACUCUUUCUUUCUCCUUCCUGCCAAUCCAGAUGUAGAAGUCUCGGCUACUUCCCAGUACUGUGUCUGCCUGCACGCUGCCAUGUUUCCUGCUAUGAUGACAGUGGACUAAACCAACUCCAA
rnacentral:lncRNA from 1 species